CCUACGGGUGGCAGCAGUCGGGAAUAUUGCGCAAUGGGCGAAAGCCUGAUGCAGCGACGCCGCGUGAGGGAUGAAGGUCUUCGGAUCGUAAACCUCUGUCAGCAGGGAAGAACGGUCACUGUGCUAAUCAGCAGUGAAUUGACGGUACCUGCUAAGGAAGCACCGGCUAACUCCGUGCCAGCAGCCGCGGUAAUACGGAGGGUGCGAGCGUUAAUCGGAAUUACUGGGCGUAAAGCGCUCGUUGGCGGUAUGUCAAGUCAAGGGUGAAAUACACGCGCUCAACGUGGGAACUGCCUUUGAAACUGAGAAACUUGAGUGUGGGAGAGGGUAGUGGAAUUCCAGGUGUAGCAGUGAAAUCCGUAGAUAUCGGGAGGAACAUCAGUGGCGAAGGCGACUAUCUGGCACAUAACUGACGCUGAGGAGCGAAGGCGUGGGUAGCAAACGGGAUUAGAUACCCUGGUAGUC
rnacentral:rRNA from 1 species